UCUGAAUACAUUCUGAAGGCACUGUAUGUUGUUCUCUAGAGCGCAUAAAAAUAAGUCUGAUGAUUUAAGCAUACAGUAUGUAAUUUCGAUGGUCUCCAAAUUGAUCGUGUCGUGCUUACAAAUAUCUGGGCAUUUGGAUAGAUGAAAAGCCAUCUUGUAAAAAGCAUAUUGAUGAGUAAGUUAAGAAGUUGAGAAUUAAAAUGGGCUUCUUCUAUAUCAAUAGGUCCUGCCUCUCGCUAAAUAGUAGAAAACAGAUUAUUCAGUCGACACUCCUAUCAGUCCUAGACUAUGGCGACAUCACCUAUAUGAACGCAGCUACCACUUAAUUAAAUCUGUUAGAUGCAGUUUAUUUUUAUUUAACUAGGUAAGUCAGUUAAGAACAAUUUUCAUUGAGGGCCUAGGAACAGUGGGUUAACUGCCUUGUUCAGGAGCAGAACGAAAGAUUUGUACCUUGUCAGCUCAGGGAUUCAAUAUUGCAACCUUUCAGUUAAUAAUCCAACCCUCUAACCACUAGGCCACCCUGCUUCCCUAUCAUAGCACAAUGGUAUUUUUUACGAGCUACAAUUUUUGUACUCUCUACCAGAAAGUUGUUUGGCCAGCUUUGAUGUCACGCUUGCAAUAGCAGGAGAAAGAGAUCACUGGAGCCUUUUGGAUCUGAGUCAGUGGAAUCAGCUACUGUUUCUGUGUGGACCACUCUAUACUACCAGAGAUGAGGAAAGACUUGCUACGUUGGCAUAUAGCAGCGGAGGGAUACAGUCAGGAGGUGACAGGGUUAACAUCACAGGGCUGGUGGUAGGUAUCCUCUUUGGCACUGCGGCCAUAGCCCUGGUGGUCCUAGGCAGCUGGUUUGUCCUCAAGAAGUUCUACUGGACAGGCCCCAUUCCUUUGACUGACAGGUGUCUUGGCCAAUGACCAUCUACCAACCAACCUGUCCACCUCCGAGCUGCCCAAUCUGACAAGUCGUUACAGAACUACCCACCAACAAUGGACCAAGCAGCGGAGGAGGGAACAACAGGUGGAAUAUCGUGAGUCAUGGACUUGGGAGGAGAUUCUGGCUGGAGAGGGCCCAUGGAGGAAGUCUGGGGAGGACCGGAAUCGCUACUGGGGAACACGGCUGGCGAGGAAGCCGGAGAGGCAACCCCAAUAAUUUUCUUUGGGGGGCACACGGGUAGGUUGGCUGGGCGAGGAUUAAGUCCCAAGCCAAAUCCCCAUGUUUUUUCCAAACAACCAUUGACUGGACAGGUCCCGUGCUUUGGGGUGAUGGGUGCUGUGACGAGGCCGGGUAUUUUCAGGCCGGUAUGCGCAGUACCAGCGCCCCGCAUGUGCCAGAGGAAAGUGGGCAUCCAGCCAGUAGGGGUGAUGUCAGUCCUGCGCUCGAGACCGCCAGUGCGCCUCU